GUCCACGCCCUAAACUGUGGAAACUAGGUACAGGGAGUAUCGACCCUUCCUGCGCCGUAGCUAACGCGUUAAGUUUCCCGCCUGGGGACUACGGUCGCAAGACUAAACUCAAAGGAUUGACGGGGCCCGCACAAGCAGCGGAGCGUGUGGUUUAAUUCGAUGCAACACGAAACCUUACCAAGGCUUGACAUGCUGGAAGUAACAAACCGAAAGGUGAGUCAACUGUUGAGUCAGUAGCCUGCACAGGUGCUGCAUGGCUGUCGU
rnacentral:rRNA from 1 species